rnacentral:rRNA from 1 species
AAACGCUACGACAGGCUUACAACUCAAGGUUUAAGGGCAGCGGGGUGUAGCAACACACCGCGUGCGACCGGCGCACGGGUGAGUAACGCGUAUGCAACUUGCCUAUCAGAGGGGGAUAACCCGUGCGAAAAGUCGGACUAAUACCGCAUGAAGCAGGGGUCCCGCAUGGGGAUAUUUGCUAAAGAUUCAUCGCUGAUAGAUAGGCAUGCGUUCCAUUAGGCAGUUGGCGGGGUAACGGGCCACCAAACCGACGAUGGACUAGGGGUUCUGAGAGGAAGGUCCCCCACAUUGGUACUGAGACACGGACCAAACUCCUACGGGAGGCAGCAGUGAGGAAUAUUGGUCAAUGGGCGUAAGCCUGAACCAGCCAAGUCGCGUGAGGGAUGAAGGUUCUAUGGAUCGUAAACCUCUUUUAUAAGGGAAUAAAGUGCGGGACGUGUCCCGUUUUGUAUGUACCUUAUGAAUAAGGAUCGGAUAACUCCGUGCCAGCAGACGCGGUAAUACGGAGGAUCCGAGCGUUAUCCGGAUUAUUGGGUUAAAGGGUGCGUAAGCGGACUUUUAAGUCAGCGGUGAAGUCUGUGGGUCAACCAUAGAAUUGCCGUUGAAACUGGGGGGCUUGAGUAUGUAUGAAGCAGGCGGAAUGCGUGGUGUACCGG